rnacentral:rRNA from 1 species
UACGUAGGUGGCGAGCGUUGUCCGGAUUUACUGGGCGUAAAGGGAGCGUAGGCGGACUUUUAAGUGAGAUGUGAAAUACCCGGGCUCAACUUGGGUGCUGCAUUUCAAACUGGAAGUCUAGAGUGCAGGAGAGGAGAAUGGAAUUCCUAGUGUAGCGGUGAAAUGUGUAGAGAUUAGGAAGAACACCAGUGGCGAAGGCGACUCUCUGGUCUGUAACUGACGCUGAGGCUCGAAAGCGUGGGGAGCAAACAGGAUUAGAUACCCCUGUA